CCAAAAGUGGAAAUAAGGAGUGAAAUGUAUAACAGAUAUUGGGAAAAGGGAAGAAAAUGUUCAAAUGGGAAGGGAAACAAGGGCCAGGGAUUUAGCUGAGUGGCACCACGCCUGCCUCGAAAGCUCAAGGUCCUGAGUUCGAUCCCCUGCACCAGGGGGAGAAAAAAAUUUUUUUCCAGCUUAAUGCAUCAGUUAAACAAAUCAAAAAACUCCAAAUGGUGGUGUACUCAAGAGGCUGGGGCAGGAGUGCCAUAAGUUCGAUGCCAACCUGAGCUACACAGCAAGAUCCUGUCUGGAAGAAAAACAAAAACAACUUAUACUGACUUCCCACAGUAGCCUCAACUGCAUUUUCCAGAUGCAGCACAUACUUUUUAUUUUUUGCUCUUAUCUUUUUCUCUUAUUCUGCCCAGGUUCGCUCUGCAGAGCUGGUUCCUCCCAUAGCCCUUCACCCCUCACUUUUCAAAUAAACUUAAAAAUUUUAAAAACUCCACACUGUAACAACCACACAUCUUAAAAAUAACUGAUGCACAAGUACAAAUUCUCUAUGAUGGAUGCAAUCAUUAUGUCAAGUGUACUGAUAAAAUAUAAAUAAUUGUUUCUUCUGUAA